rnacentral:rRNA from 1 species
GGGGAAUAUUGCACAAUGGGGGAAACCCUGAUGCAGCGACGCCGCGUGAGUGAAGAAGUAAUUCGUUACGUAAAGCUCUAUCAGCAGGGAAGAAAAUGACGGUACCUGAGUAAGAAGCCCCGGCUAACUAC